rnacentral:tRNA from 1 species
ACUAUUUUGGCAGAUAAAUGUAAUAAAUUUAGAAUUUAUAGAUGUAAAUAUUUUACAAAUAGUA